UUUAUCAAAUUGAAAUUAGAACUUUGUUUUUAGGCUGUGUUCUUCGUGAACCAGAGAGACUUGAUUCACGAGAAUCAAGAGAGAUUCAUCCUCAAAUUAUUUACCCAACCUUGUCAUUGUACUUGGUACAUGACAAUUGGUAUCUAGAGCCGUUUCGAUCCAUGUAGUUACCGAAAGCUACACCACUGCAGCUGAAAGCUUUGGAGAAUGAAGAUAAAGCAAGACAGGAAUUAUAUAAGUUUUAUGACUUAUAUCGGUUUCAUUUUGAAGAGAAUAAUUCUCAAACUCGAGAAUACUAUCUUCAGAAGUUUGGAAAGCUCAUGGAUAGAGCAAGGCAGAAGUAUAUAUUGAUACUUUUCAUUCGGGGUACUACAUCGAUUCCUCCUGCUGUCGGUGAAGAAGAAGAUGAUUCUCUAGACGAGUUGAUUCCUUCGUUUUUAUUCGAUGAAGAAGGGGAUGACUCAAAUAAUGAGUUGACUUCUCAAAUUGCAGAGAUUACAAAAACUAGAGUUCAAUCAAUUUCUUCUGCUGUUGACAAGGAAACCGAUUAUCAAAGUUGUCGUGAUGAUAUAACAAGGAAAAAUCAGAUCGAAUUUUAUUAUAUGCCAGCAAAUCCGCUCUUUCACCAACUGACUGGGGACACGACUUCAACUGGUAAUUUUAUAUUAUUCCAUUACCAUCCUCUUAUGAUGCCUCCUUCGUUAAUCAGAAGUGAUUUCAGACUUUUAAGAAGGGCGUUAUGUUUGCAUUAUUGAAAACUUGCACAUGUUCUCUAUGGAGUUCUUACUAUUCUAGAGGAAGUUGAAAUGAAUACAGAUCUAAAUGAGCUAAUGCUGUUAGUUUCCUUGUGGUGGAAAUAUGCACAUAUCAUAUUUCCACCAUAUGAGCGGAGAUGUAAGAUAUAUAUUCGAAUGUUGUUUGAUCGAGGUAACAGGUAUGUUCCUGGAUUAUUAGCGAGCUACUUGGCAAGUUAUAGCAGGGCAAAAGUUCUCUUAAGAAUGAGAGCAGAUCAUCUCAAAACUGUUGAAUCCGAUUUCCCAAUUGCACUAUUGUUGGUGGUCUUACUGAAAUGGAAGGGUGCAACAAAUGGUGAUGCUCAUCUCAGUGGAAUGCUUAUGUGUAAUUAUGGUCAUGUUGAGACCUUUGAUGGCACGACAACAAGAUCAAUUUUCAUGGAAUUCGUUACUUCCGUUUUUCUCCUAGUAAUCACAGGUGUAGUGAGAAUAUGUAUCCAAGUUCUUGAGCAAUUAAAGGGUAAAUUGUGGUUUACCGUCAAGUAUGUUUCUCCUGGUGAACUUUUGGAAGCUAGACCAGUAGCGGAGAGGCUACAUCAUCUCUAUAUAUAAGAUUAAGGCUGAGAAGGCACGAGGUAUUUCUUUGGGUGCCUACCAGAAGGGAAAUGAUGAAGAUAGAACACUUGUCGACCUCAGGGAAAUGAGCAAACAAAUGUCAGGUCCCCAUGUUAUUUAUACAGCAGGAGCUGCUACCUGGUGUUGUCACGUUCCUGUUCCUUGGCAGUUAGUUGGUCAGUUGAUGACUGGACUGGUGUUGACAUGCUUAAGUAUACCACAAAGCAUCCAACAGUAAUGUGGCAAGUUAUAUAUCCAUGUGUUGUCAGUGUUAACUCUCUUAUCACUCAAGAUGAUUCAAUUGACUUUCAUCCUUGAGGACAAGGAUGUUUUCAAGAGGAGUGGAACAUCAUGUACCCGCUAUUGUAUUGGAGUGACCAUAUCCUAUUAGUGUCAGUAUCUAGUAUAAGUUGUUGGUGGUAGUAUUUAACUCAAAGAGUGAGUGCGUUUAUCAAUUGUAAGGAUGAAUUAGAUGUAACCAUCUGGUGGGAUUAUUACCGUAAGAUGUUAUCUAGGUUAGACUGUUUCUAGAUUUAUAAGCGAAAGACUCUGUAAUGAAGAGUUUAUCAAAUUAUUAAUCAAAUUGGAACUUUGUUCUUA